UCUUGGUCUGGGCAAAGCGAUCGACGC
rnacentral:piRNA from 1 species